rnacentral:rRNA from 1 species
ACGGUAACAGGAAGCAGCUUGCUGCUUUGCUGACGAGUGGCGGACGGGUGAGUAAUGUCUGGGAAACUGCCUGGUGGAGGGGGAUAACUACUGGAAACGGUAGCUAAUACCGCAUAACGUCGCAAGACCAAAGAGGGGGACCUUCGGGCCUCUUGCCAUCGGAUGUGCCCAGAUGGGAUUAGCUAGUAGGUGGGGUAACGGCUCACCUAGGCGACGAUCCCUAGCUGGUCUGAGAGGAUGACCAGCCACACUGGAACUGAGACACGGUCCAGACUCCUACGGGAGGCAGCAGUGGGGAAUAUUGCACAAUGGGCGCAAGCCUGAUGCAGCCAUGCCGCGUGUAUGAAGAAGGCCUUCGGGUUGUAAAGUACUUUCAGCGGGGAGGAAGGGAGUAAAGUUAAUACCUUUGCUCAUUGACGUUACCCGCAGAAGAAGCACCGGCUAACUCCGUGCCAGCAGCCGCGGUAAUACGGAGGGUGCAAGCGUUAAUCGGAAUUACUGGGCGUAAAGCGCACGCAGGCGGUUUGUUAAGUCAGAUGUGAAAUCCCCGGGCUCAACCUGGGAACUGCAUCUGAUACUGGCAAGCUUGAGUCUCGUAGAGGGGGGUAGAAUUCCAGGUGUAGCGGUGAAAUGCGUAGAGAUCUGGAGGAAUACCGGUGGCGAAGGCGGCCCCCUGGACGAAGACUGACGCU